ensembl:lncRNA
CUUUAAUUGCUUUUCAGAUAAAACAACCACACAAUCGUUUCUGUCCUUUCCUAGCCUCCAUUUCUCAGAAGGGCUUCUAUGGAACAGUAGUCUAAAUUAACCAGACCCUAUUCCAAAGGACUGCCAUUCCUCGGCUGCUUUGCUUUGAAUGCUCCACAUCUGGGUUAUGUGCUAAGGGCAGAGGCUGCAAAAGAAAAGGAAGGUGAUCUUUAACACUCACACCUGCAGGCCUGUGAAGAAUUGGAAUACUUUGUUUACUAUGCUGGGACGACUUAAAAGAAACAAGCAGGACAUGUGGAGUGUUGCUUCCUUUCCUCAAUUACCAGCAGAUCACAGGUGUUUAUCUGGUUCCCGGAGGUGAUUCAGAAACCUUGGAAGAUUUGCGUUUUCCUUCUAAGCAAGAUCAACAAUGUCCGCUUUUGGAGGAAACUCCCUUCUUCAGAUUGUGGAUUAUAUGUGACCUUAAUCUACAGCCUCUCCUUUUGUUCAGAUGUCACUGGG